AGAGUUAUAAUUUAUAAAAAAUAUUUAACUUGCAAUUAAAAAAACACCAGUUAACUCUA
rnacentral:tRNA from 1 species